rnacentral:rRNA from 1 species
UACGUAGGGUCCAAGCGUUGUCCGGAUUUAUUGGGCGUAAAGAGCGUGUAGGCGGCCCGGUAAGUCCGCUGUAAAAGUCAAAGGCUCAACCUUUGAAUGUCAGUGGAUACUGCCGGGCUAGAGUCCGGAAGAGGCGAGUGGAACUCCUGGUGUAGCGGUGGAAUGCGCAGAUAUCAGGAAGAACACCAACGGCGAAGGCAGCUCGCUAGGACGGUACUGACGCUGAGACGCGAAAGCGUGGGGAGCGAACAGG